GACGAACGCUGGCGGCGUGCUUAACACAUGCAAGUCGAACGGAAAGGCCCUGCUUUUGUGGGGUGCUCGAGUGGCGAACGGGUGAGUAACACGUGAGUAACCUGCCCUUGACUUUGGGAUAACUUCAGGAAACUGGGGCUAAUACCGGAUAGGAGCUCCUGCUGCAUGGUGGGGGUUGGAAAGUUUCGGCGGUUGGGGAUGGACUCGCGGCUUAUCAGCUUGUUGGUGGGGUAGUGGCUUACCAAGGCUUUGACGGGUAGCCGGCCUGAGAGGGUGACCGGCCACAUUGGGACUGAGAUACGGCCCAGACUCCUACGGGAGGCAGCAGUGGGGAAUAUUGCACAAGGGGAGGAGGCCUGAUGCAGCAACGCCGCGUGCGGGAUGACGGCCUUCGGGUUGUAAACCGCUUUCGCCUGUGACGAAGCGUGAGUGACGGUAAUAGGUUAAGAAGCACCGGCUAACUACGUG
rnacentral:rRNA from 1 species